AAUACUAACGCACAAUACUAACCAAUUUAUAAAUAUAUUGUGAUGUCGAUUAUCAUUGUAAAUUAUAAUACAAAUACAAAGUGAUAUCUACACUAGUUGAAAUUGAUACCUGACGGACCACUAUGAUAUACACGAAGCAGCAAUGGUACACGCCCGCCGAGGUGGUGGUCCACAACACGGCGCAAGACUGCUGGGUGUCGCUGCACGGGCGCGUGCUGGACCUGUCCGCAUGGCUGGCGGACCAGUUCCGGCUGUGCACGUGCCGCAAGAACUGCUCCUGCGUCAUCAAGAACUGGUACUGCGCCGAGGACUGCGUCGAGUACUGCCCCUGCUUCAAGCGCGGCUUCCCCUACUGCGACAAGAAGAGGCUCGCGAUGACGAUCGUGGCGUACGCGGGCAAGGACAUCUCGCACUGGUUCCGCGGAGACGAGUGGGUGCAGCACACGCACCCGGUGACGGGCGCGGCGGCGGCGCGGCGCCCGCACGGCCCCGGCCUGCGCGAGCCGCAGGUUCCCUCGACCAAGUGGCGGCCCUACACGAAGCCCUGGUGGCUAGACGACAGCCUGGUUGUCGGGAAGCUGACCGCCAAGACCAGGCCUAUUAGGAUCACCAAUACUCUUACUGGGUCGACGGUGACGCUGGAGGUGUGCUCGGAGGAGAGCAUGUACGAGAUCGUGCAGCGCUACCGGCGGCACAACACGCACGUGGGCUCGUACUCGUGGCGCUACCGCGGCCGCCGGCUCUGCUUCGCGCGCACGCUGGCCGAGAACGGCGUGCCCGACGAGCGCGACCGCUUCUCGGAGGUGCUGCUCCCGGACAACUGCUACGUGCCCGCCAUCCUCAUCUACUACAACGACGACUUGACUGAAGAGCCGGCGGUGGACGACUGCUUCUGCCGCGACACGGACUGCGUCAAGGACAAGCCCGAGGCGCACCUCCCGCUCUAGUGGACCGGCUGUGAGUGGUGCGAGGGUGCGAGGGCUGCGCAAGGAGGGCCGCUACACUACCGACCACUUAUAUAUUGUCAAAGCGGACCCCAGGCUCCCAUGAGCCGUGGCAAAUGCCGGGAUAACGCAAGGAGGAGGAGGACUUUCCAAAUAUAUGCAUAGAUCGUUUAAUUUGCAGCUGUAGUUCAAAUAAACACGCAAUGAAUUCGUAACUCACGUUAUUUUUACGUGGAUUCACCCUUAUGAUGUUUCUGUCGUCUUCAUUUGCU
rnacentral:misc_RNA from 1 species